rnacentral:rRNA from 1 species
GCAAGUCAACUUGAAUUUGGGUUUUAACUUAGAUUUGGGUGGCGGACGGGUGAGUAACGCGUAAAGAACUUGCCUCACAGCUAGGGACAGCAUUUAGAAAUGAAUGCUAAUACCUGAUAUUAUGAUUUUAAGGCAUCUUAGAAUUAUGAAAGCUAUAAGCACUGUGAGAGAGCUUUGCGUCCCAUUAGCUAGUUGGAGAGGUAACAGCUCACUAAGGCGAUGAUGGGUAGCCGGCCCGAGAGGGUGAACGGCCACAAGGGGACUGAGACACGGCCCUUACUCCUACGGGAGGCAGCAGUGGGGAAUAUUGGACAAUGGACCGAGAGUCUGAUCCAGCAAUUCUGUGUGCACGAUGAAGUUUUUCGGAAUGUAAAGUGCUUUCAGUUGGGAAGAAAAAAAUGACGGUACCAACAGAAGAAGUGACGGCUAAAUACGUGCCAGCAGCCGCGGUAAUACGUAUGUCACGAGCGUUAUCCGGAUUUAUUGGGCGUAAAGCGCGUCUAGGUGGUUAUGUAAGUCUGAUGUGAAAAUGCAGGGCUCAACUCUGUAUUGCGUUGGAAACUGUAUAACUAGAGUACUGGAGAGGUAAGCGGAACUACAAGUGUAGAGGUGAAAUUCGUAGAUAUUUG